CCGCGGGCCAUGGUGAGCCCGGGGCGGCUGCGCCCCGCGGGGACCCGGCGGGCGGCCCCGCUGCUCCGCCCCAGCCUCCUCCUCCUCUUGCUGCUGCGGGGCACCGAGGCGCAGAAAGGUGAUGGCUGUGGACACACUGUGCUGGGCGCCGAGAGCGGGACCCUGGCCUCCAUAAACUACCCCCGGACCUCUCCCAACAGCACCGUGUGCGAGUGGGAGAUCCGCGUGAAGCCCGGGCAGCGCCUUCAGCUCAAGUUCAGUGAUUUUGAUAUUGAUGACUCCGAUUCCUGUCAUUCCAGUUACCUGAGAGUUCACAAUGGCAUUGGCCCCAACAGGACAGAAAUAGGAAAAUACUGUGGGUUUGGCUUUCAAAUGGAUGGUUUAAUCACUUCAAAAAGUAAUGAAGUCACAGUACAGUUCAUGAGUGGAAUUCACACAUCUGGACGUGGAUUUCUUGCAGCUUAUUCAACCACAGAUAAAUCAGACUUAAUUACCUGUUUAGACAAUGCAAGUCACUUUUCCGAACCGGAAUUCAAUAAGUAUUGUCCAGCUGGAUGUGUGAUUCCUUUUGCUGAUAUUUCAGGCACUAUUCCUCAUGGAUACAGAGACUCAUCACCACUUUGUAUGGCUGGUGUUCACGCAGGCGUCGUGUCAAAUACUCUGGGUGGUCAAAUUAAUGUUGUGAUCAGCAAGGGCAUUCCAUACUAUGAAGGAUCCCUGGCUAACAAUGUCACCUCAAAAGUGGGACCCUUGUCUACAAGUCUCUUCACCUUUAAGACCAGUGGUUGCUAUGGGACACUGGGGAUGGAGUCUGGGGUGAUUCCUGAUUCCCACAUCACAUCGUCGUCUACUCUUGAGUGGCCUAACCAAACAGGACAAGUAAACAUUUGGAAACCUGAAAAUGCCAGACUAAAAAGGAUUGGACCUCCUUGGGCUGCUUUUAUCAAUGAUGAACAUCAGUGGUUGCAGAUUGACUUGAAUAAAGAAAAGAAAAUAACAGGUAUUAUAACUACUGGAUCAACUUUAGCAGAGCACUACUAUUAUGUCUCAGCCUACAGAAUUUUAUACAGUGAUGAUGCACAGAAGUGGACAGUGUACAGAGAACCUGGCAUGGGUAAAGAUAAGGUAUUUCAAGGGAAUACUGAAUUGUACCAGGAAGUUCGCAAUAAUUUCAUUCCACCUAUUAUUGCACGUUUUCUUAGGAUUAACCCCAUAAAAUGGCACCAGAAAAUUGCAAUGAAAGUAGAAUUGCUAGGAUGUCAGUUUAGUAUAGGUCGUGCUCCUAAAAUCACGUUUCCAGCACCACCUCAGAACAAGAAUGAUGAGAAGAAUGCUGACUUUGUGGAUGAAUUCAUUCAUUCAGUGAAGACUUCUCUGCAGACAGAUAAAACAACUUUCACACCUGAAAUAAAAAACACUACAGUGACUCCAAGUGUAACCAAAGAUGUGGCAUUGGCAGCAGUUCUGGUUCCAGUGCUGGUGAUGGUCUUCACUACUCUGAUUCUUAUCUUAGUUUGUGCGUGGCAUUGGAGAAACCGCAAGAAAAAAACUGAGGGUACAUAUGAUCUUCCUUACUGGGAUCGUGCAGGUUGGUGGAAAGGGAUGAAGCAGUUUUUCCCGACCAAAUCAGCAGAACAUGAAGAAACUCCUGUACGCUACAGCAGCAGUGAAAUCAGUCACCUAAGAGCAAGAGAAGUCCCAACAAUGUUGCAAACAGAGUCUGCAGAAUAUGCUCAACCCCUGGUAGGGGGAAUUGUGGGCACGCUUCACCAGAGAUCAACCUUCAAACCAGAGGAAGGAAAAGAAGCCAGUUAUGCUGACUUGGACCCUUACAACUCCCCCAUCCAAGAAGUUUACCACGCCUACGCCGAGCCACUGCCCGUAACCGGACCCGAGUACGCGACUCCCAUAAUCAUGGACAUGUCCAGCCAUCCCAGCACACCUCUUGGUGCUCCUUCCAUUUCCACCUUCAAAGCUGCAGGGAAUCAAGCUCCUCCACUGGUUGGAACGUGCAAUAAACUGUUAUCCAGGACAGACAGUGCAUCCUCAGCACAGGCACUGUACGAUAUACCAAAGGGGCAGCCGGGGCCAGGCAGUGCUGACCAACUUGUGUACCAGGUGCCGCAGAGCGUGGCCCAUCCCACUGUGGAUGCCAGUUAUGACAAAACCUGUCAGGGUUGCUGCUGUGCCAGAAAUCAGAUCCUGCUGAGGCUGAGGACAAAGCCCUACCCCUACACGGACAAGGCAGCAGACCUGGUUCGGGAAGCCAGCGUGCUCCAGGCUGCUCCAGGACUCUGAUCAAACAUCAGCAUCCCCGUCUCUCACGUUGAUGAUGUCGUGGAUAUGCUGGCUGUUCUGAUGGAGGGCAGUGAUGGCUUAGAUGAAGAAAUUGGGUUCUCUUUGAAUGAAGAUGUGAUUAUCCAAACAUUUCCCUUCAGUGCUGUUGUCCCUGCUGCUUUAGCAGCCAGGAAUAUGCUGUUGCUUCAGUCUGAAAACAGAACAGGAGCAGACGUCGUGGAGGACCUUGGUGCUGUUUUCACUGGCCUCCUGCACUCUCCGAGAGAACCCCUUGCUCCCUGCGUGACGUUCCAGCUCUGUGACAAAGAUCCCGAGUCCCUGAAAGCUGCUAAGUAUCCUCAGCUCUACCAGUUUAACCGAUACUAUAGGCUCUGGAUGCCCAAGCAGUCCCAGGAACCUGUGGUAUGGAAUCCCUGAAGUCACUGAAUUCUUGAGCCAGUAUUCCUAUAAAAUCCUCGCUGUCGACAGAGGUUACAUUUCCAUCAGUAACAGCGUUUUUAUUGAGGAGUUUGAAAACCGCAAGGAGGUAAGCCAAGAGCCUCCUGUGGCACCGGAUUCAGCCACUUUGCUGAAGGGAGCCUGGGAGAGAGGAAGCAGUACCUUCCUGGAAGAUGGUGUUCAGACAAAGUGGAGAGACUUGGCUUCCUUGCUCCCACCUGAGCAGCUUUUGUUGGGAGUAAAGCACGUCCUGCUGUACCCGAAAUCCACAGUGGAGAACUUCAGCAGAUAAUAUUGUAGUUAUCCUUGGUUUACUUUGUGGCACAAGUUACAGAUGACUUGGCUGCUAAAACUUAGGUUCCAGUGCUGUAGCUCUUUUUCCUCGACUCGGCUGCGAGGGUACGCAGCACCAUACAAAACUGCACCUAAUUUGUAAACAAAUGUCAGUUCUGAUUAUUGAAGCCGGGCUUUAUUCCGUGGAAUCCCGGCUGUGUGCUGCCCCAGGUCCUUUGUACAAAUAGCGUACGGGGGGGUAGGGGAACCAGAACUUCACAUUCCUUGUGGUAUGUAUGGGAUUUUGGGGGGGGUUAAAUAAAAAGGAGAUGCAAAAUGAGG